rnacentral:rRNA from 1 species
CUGAUGCAGCAACGCCGCGUGAGGGACGACGGCCUUCGGGUUGUAAACCUCUUUUAGCAGGGAAGAAGCGAAAGUGACGGUACCUGCAGAAAAAGCACCGGCUAACUACGUGCCAGCAGCCGCGGUAAUACGUAGGGUGCAAGCGUUAUCCGGAAUUAUUGGGCGUAAAGAGCUCGUAGGCGGUUUGUCGCGUCUGCUGUGAAACCCCGAGGCUCAACCUCGGGCCUGCAGUGGGUACGGGCAGACUAGAGUGCGGUAGGGGAGAUUGGAAUUCCUGGUGUAGCGGUGGAAUGCGCAGAUAUCAGGAGGAACACCGAUGGCGAAGGCAGAUCUCUGGGCCGUAACUGACGCUGAGGAGCGAAAGGGUGGGGAGCAAACAGGCUUAGAUACCCUGGUAGUCCACCCCGUAAACGUUGGGAACUAGUUGUGGGGUCCAUUCCACGGAUUCCGUGACGCAGCUAACGCAUUAAGUUCCCCGCCUGGGGAGUACGGCCGCAAGGCUAAAACUCAAAGGAAUUGACGGGGACCCGCACAAGCGGCGGAGCAUGCGGAUUAAUUCGAUGCAACGCGAAGAACCUUACCAAGGCUUGACAUAUACGAGAACGCUGCAGAAAUGUAGAACUCUUUGGACACUC